rnacentral:rRNA from 1 species
AUGCGGAAGAGAUAAGUGCUGAAAGCAUCUAAGCACGAAACUUGCCAAGAGAUGAGUCAUCCCUGACUUUAAGUCAGUAAGGGUUGUUGUAGACUACGACGUAGAUAGGUCAGGUGUGUAAGUGUAGUGAUACAUUGAGCUAACAGAUACUAAUUGCCCGAGAGGCUUAACUAUACAACGCUCAAG